AUCACAGGUGACAUUGUUACAACUAUGCAGCUUACAGCGAGUGAGUGAAGGUGGGGGCUGAUCAGAUAAGGUGGUGAGGUCCGGGGAGAGAAAUAAUUUUGCUAGAAACAGAAACUAAAUGUCCCAAAAAAUUUUAACCUGUGCUUGGGCCAGCUGGAGGUUAGUCUUACUGCACUUAUUCCCCUGAGAGUUGAAACUUCGAAAGAUUAGCAGACAUGUCCAUUAAAAAAAAUGUGAGGCGAGUUAGUGGACCAGAGAUCCUCAGGAAUGCUUUUAAGGGGUCAGUCCUGAUUUACAAGCAGAAAUGCAGGGACCUGAUCAGUGGGGUCAGAAGGCUGCAAUCAAACUUUUUAUGAGCAGGGAGAGUGAACUAAAAAAAGGGAAGCGGCAUCAGCCAUCUGAGUCUGAUCAUGUUUAUUCAAGAAGGAGGUGUGUCCUGCACAAACUGAUCCACGUCUGCUUUGUAAGAAAUGAUACUUUCUAUAGCUUUUUCUGAACAUCUACCUUAGUCCAUGUCCUAAACACUAAAACACGUCCUAUCAUUAUUCUGAGAGCAUAGAAAGCUGUUAUAUCUGCUUACAACUGAGAAAUCACCCCUCCUUUCUGCGAGUUCUCAUCAGCCUGUCUGCAGGCUCGGGCACGCGCACUCUGAUCUGUGAAGCUGUUCCCCCCUCCUUCUGCUCUGUCCUGCACUCUGAGGCUGCUUAACUUUCCAUGAAAUCCAUAAUCUUUAACCAAUUUAUCAAAAUACUUGAUUAAUGUCUGAUCCUGACUUUCCACAUACUUCCAAACUUCAUGAAAAGCUUUCUGGACCUGACCAAUGUGCCGUCUUUCUUUUUAGUGAGAUUUUGUGAAUGAGUCCCACCCAUCUUUUUGAGGUUUUUGAUCGACGAUCAGCCACAACCUUCUCAAUUUCAAUCACAAACCAGAGCUCCCACCCAAGUAACCCUUUUUAUGGAUUCUCCAGCACUGAAUCUAAUCAGUAGAAAAAGCUUGGAGAAUCAGAAAGAAACCUAAUUAUUUGUCAACUGAGUCACUAUUUUGUUUUAGAACGAGGCAUUAAUCAAAGUGAGCACACACCACAGGAGCUGUCGAA